rnacentral:lncRNA from 1 species
CUCUAAUCAAGUUGUAACACUCGCUGCUGUGGUCCACAGCUUCAUUCCUUGAAGCCCGUGAGACACGAACGCUUCCAUUGAGAAAAACCUUCCAUCAGAAGAAGACUUCUCGUCUCAGUGGGACUGCUGAGUUGAAUGGUGCUUUUUUUUCUGAAGCUUUGGUAGUGUAACUGUAAGAGUCCUGGAAUUGGAAAAGCAAAUCCAGAAGUUGAGUUCCAUGACUUUUUUGCUGUUUGCCUUUGGACUUGCAUCAUUUAUAUUUUUAAUUCAUCGAGGAUGAGAAAAUUGAUUAACACAAAAUCUUUUCAUGUCUUUUCUGAUGAGAGACUAGCUGAAUCCAAGAAGAGAAGCCCUUGAAGAGUGUAUUCUAUUCUAGACAAGCAUUCACACAUUGGCUUCUUUGGUGCCAGAUUAAAGAAUGAAGAAAGGAUCAAAUUGAGACAUCCAGGGGGGAAGAGUUCCCUGGCAAAACUCCAAUCUGCCUGAGCACUGAGGUGGAGCCACAGAAGUCCGGGUCAUUUGCACCUGGGAGGAGCCUGGCCCCUCCUCUUCCUGUGUGGAAUCUGGGAUUUAAUCUGUGAGGAGGGAAGGCCAAGGGCAGGAAGCACAGGCUCUCACUUCACUAAGAGUCUCUGUUUCCCCUUUUUUUCCUUUAUGCCUAAUUAAUAAAUCCCAUUUUUCUCACUCUUCAAAUAGUCUUCAAGCCUAAAUUUUCAUGACCAUGGAACAAGGACCCCAUCUUUAGCUGAACUAAGGAAAAGUCCUGCAACAAAAUUCUUUGCUAAAAAUACAUGAGGUUGCCUUUUCCUUCUUAAUCUUAAAAGAAAUAUAUUUCAAUGGUUAACGUUUUAGUAAUUCAAAAAUUA